CGUGCCAACCUCCCCUUGGACGGAAACACCCCCGGGAAACUGGGGCUAAUUUCUGAUAGGUGAAGACUCCUGGAAUGGAUUUUCGCUUAAAGGGCGCCUAGGGCAUGCUCCUAGGCGUUGCCCAAGGAUGGGGCCGCGGCCGAUCAGGUUGUUGGUGAGGUAAUGGCCCACCAAGCCUUUAACCGGUACGGGCCGUGGGAGCGGUAGCCCGGAGAUGGGCACUGAGACAAGGGCCCAGGCCCUACGGGGCGCAGCAGUCGCGAAAACUUCGCAAUAAGCGAAAGCUUGACGGGGCCAUCCCGAGUGCCAUCUGCUGAGGAUGGCUUUUACCUAGUAUAGAUAGCUGGGGGAAUAAGGAGAGGGCAAGUCUGGUGUCAGCCGCCGCGGUAAUACCAGCUCUCCGAGUUGUAGGGAUGUUUAUUGGGCCUAAAGCAUCCGUAGCCGGCUGGACAAGUCCUCUGUUAAAUCCAGCGACCAAUCGUUGGUCUGCGGGGGAUACUGUCCGGCUAGGGGGCGGGAGAGGCCGUCGGUAUUCUUGGGGUAGGGGUGAAAUCCUAUAAUCCCAGGAGGACCACCAGUGGCGAAGGCUGUCGGCUAGAACGCGCCCGACGGUGAGGGAUGAAAGCUGGGGGAGCGAACCGGAUUAGAUACCCGGGUAGUCCCAGCUGU
rnacentral:rRNA from 1 species